ACGAGUGGCGGACGGGUGAGUAAUGUCUGGGAAACUGCCUGAUGGAGGGGGGAUAACUACUGGAAACGGUAGCUAAUACCGCAUAAUGUCGCAAGACCAAAGAGGGGGGACCUUAGGGCCUCUUGCCAUCGGAUGUGCCCAGAUGGGAUUAGCUAGUAGGUGGGGUAAAGGCUCACCUAGGCGACGAUCCCUAGCUGGUCUGAGAGGAUGACCAGCCACACUGGAACUGAGACACGGUCCAG
rnacentral:rRNA from 1 species